CCGGGUGAGUAACACGGUGACUAACCUGCCCUUGAGUGGGGGAUAACCUCGGGAAACGGGGUAAUAACCGCAUAACCAUCGCAAGAUCAAAGGAGCAAUCCGCUGAAGGAGGGGGUCGCGGCUGAUUAGUUAGUUGGUGAGGUAACGGCUCACCAAGACGAAGAUCAGUAGCCGGCCUGAGAGGGCGCACGGCCACACUGGAACUGAAACACGGUCCAGACUCCUACGGGAGGCAGCAGUGGGGAAUUUUGCGCAAUGGGGGAAACCCUGACGCAGCAACGCCGCGUGGAGGAUGAAGUCCCUUGGGAUGUAAACUCCUUUCGAUCGGGACGAUAAUGACGGUACCGGAAGAAGAAGCACCGGCUAACUCUGUGCCAGCCGCCGGGG
rnacentral:rRNA from 1 species